AACGCCAGGUCGAAGCCUUCUAGAAAACUGCGCCAAGCACCACGCCUUCAUGAGAGGGGGCAUGAGGAGAGUGAGCCCCUUGUUCUGUUGGCGCUCCAAUCAUGAGCGCUCACGGCAUGUCUGUGGUGCUGCAAAGUGCCCGAGCCCGCCACCAAGGCUCCGCGAGAAGCAUCACCACUGGAGGUCUGCCACGAGCCCUGCGGUCUUCCACUCGCACUCUCUGCACC
rnacentral:RNase_MRP_RNA from 1 species